rnacentral:rRNA from 1 species
AUUGAACGCUGGCGGCAUGCCUUACACAUGCAAGUCGAACGGCAGCACGGGAGCUUGCUCCUGGUGGCGAGUGGCGAACGGGUGAGUAAUACAUCGGAACGUACCCUGAAGUGGGGGAUAACGUAGCGAAAGUUACGCUAAUACCGCAUAUUCUGUGAGCAGGAAAGAGGGGGAUCGCAAGACCUCUUGCUUUAGGAGCGGCCGAUGUCGGAUUAGCUAGUUGGUGAGGUAAAGGCUCACCAAGGCGACGAUCCGUAGCGGGUCUGAGAGGAUGAUCCGCCACACUGGGACUGAGACACGGCCCAGACUCCUACGGGAGGCAGCAGUGGGGAAUUUUGGACAAUGGGCGCAAGCCUGAUCCAGCCAUGCCGCGUGAGUGAAGAAAGCCUUCGGGUUGUAAAGCUCUUUCGGUGGGGAAGAAAUUGCACAGGAUAAUACCUUGUGUAGAUGACGGUACCCGCAUAAGAAGCACCGGCUAACUACGUGCCAGCAGCCG